AUAACCUCUUGGAUCCUCCCAAUAUCAGAGAGGGUUAGAGAAAAAAGGAGCAGAGAGAAAGAGCAAGAUAGAGAAAAGAAGAACAAAGAUGAGCGAUGACAAGUGAAAUAGGAGAUUUUGCCACCUCUCUUAGGAAGAGAGAAAGGCAGACCAUGGUGGGUUGUGGUGGUGGUGGUGCUAGUGGUUAUGGUCAGUAAUAGGUGGUGGC
rnacentral:lncRNA from 1 species